CGACGAGGAUUAUCAUGGAGGAUUCGAAGAAGGUGAGAUUGAGAAAGUUUUCUCAGCUAUGGAAGCUAAUUACGAAGCUUGGGUUCAUGGAUUUGCUCCGCUUGCUGUUGGAGCUGAUGUUCCGGCGGCGGUUAGAGAAUUUAGCCGGACUUUGUUUAAUAUGCGUCCGGAUAUAUCUCUGUUUGUUUCGAGGACGGUUUUCAACAGCGAUCUGAGAGGUGUGCUUGGGUUAGUUAGAGUUCCGACGUGUGUGAUUCAGACGGCGAAGGAUGUUUCUGUGCCGGCUUCGGUGGCGGAGUAUCUUAGGUCUCAUCUCGGUGGAGAUACUACUGUGGAGACUCUUAAAACUGAAGGACAUUUGCCGCAGCUUAGUGCUCCGGCGCAGCUUGCUCAGUUUCUCCGGCGAGCUCUUCCUCGGUGACUUUUUUUUAUAGAUAUAAAAAGAGAACAAUAAAAUAUAAUUGGUGGAAUAUGGGUUUAGUGGGGUCCACGUAUCGAAGAAAAGAAGGGCCUCUAUUUGUGGAGGACAGUUUGGCAUUGUCACAAAUCUAGUAAGAUAAGAU
rnacentral:sRNA from 1 species